rnacentral:rRNA from 1 species
GACAGAGGGUGCAAACGUUGUUCGGAAUUACUGGGCAUAAAGAGCACGUAGGUGGUUCGCUAAGCCACGUGUGAAAUCCCUCGGCUUAACCGGGGAACUGCGUCUGAUACUGGAUGGCUUGAGUUUGGGAGAGGGACGCGGAAUUCCAGGUGUAGCGGUGAAAUGCGUAGAUAUCUGGAGGAACACCGGUGGCGAAGGCGGCGUCCUGGACCAAUACUGACACUGAGUGAGCGAAAGCCAGGGGAGCAAACGGG